rnacentral:ncRNA from 1 species
UCGUCAGCUCGUGUCGUGAGAUGUUGGGUUAAGUGCCGCUACGAGCGCUACCCUUAUUUAAAGUUUUUUAUAUCUUUAAAAACGGACUAUAUAGAUUUAGAAUGACGCGAAGAAAGGCGA